UACGUAGGGGGCAAGCGUUGUCCGGAUUUAUUGGGCGUAAAGAGCGUGUAGGCGGCUUUACAGGUCCGUUGUGAAAACUCGAGGCUCAACCUCGAGACGCCGGUGGAAACCGUAAAGCUAGAGUCCGGAAGAGGAGAGUGGAAUUCCUGGUGUAGCGGUGAAAUGCGCAGAUAUCAGGAGGAACACCGGUGGCGAAGGCGGGUCUCUGGGCCGUAACUGACGCUGAGGAGCGAAAGCGUGGGGAGCAAACAGG
rnacentral:rRNA from 1 species